rnacentral:lncRNA from 1 species
AUACCCUGGUGCAGGGUUCAUGGAGGAAGAGCCUUCUCUAUCUAAUUUGUUUAAGGGCCCCACCUGGGUUGAAAGUGCUUCUUUCAGAUCAGGGUGCCAAAGAGCAGGUGUGUUUGGUUUGGGAUGGGAGGUUGUGGUGUCUUGGGCAUGGCAGGCAGAGGUCCAGCAGGCAGUGGGUGUCUGGUCUGGAAUGAUGGGUGCAGAGGGACAUGGCUGGAGGUGAGUGAGGUAGUCAUUGGUGUCGGGGGUAACUGAAAACCUCGGGAUGCUGGGGGUCCCAACUAGAUUCUGGUUGUAAGUCCAGUGCCAUGGGCUAUUCUGGUCAGCACUGGCCAAGGCCUUGGGAUUAGGGACAGGAAGUGACUGCCUUAGCAGCAGAGAAGUGAGCAGAAGAUGAGCAAGUGUAGCCUCCAGUACACAUGUGGUGACGCGUCAUGGUUGUCUGGGUGCUGGGCAGGGACUGAACGCUUCAUUUUGUGGAGAGGGAAACCGAGGCUUGGAAUAUCACAUGAUUUGCCCAGGGCUUCAGGCAAGAAGUGGUGGAGCUGGGACUGAGUCCAGACUUGCUCUGCAUACUGGGUAGGGGUGCCUCUCAGGACCUCGGGUCCC